rnacentral:rRNA from 1 species
UACGUAGGGUGCGAGCGUUAAUCGGAAUUACUGGGCGUAAAGCGUGCGCAGGUGGUUUGUUAAGUCAGAUGUGAAAGCCCCGAGCUUAACUUGGGAACUGCGUUUGAAACUGGCAAGCUAGAGUCUGUCAGAGGGGGGUAGAAUUCCACGUGUAGCAGUGAAAUGCGUAGAGAUGUGGAGGAAUACCAAUGGCGAAGGCAGCCCCCUGGGAUAAGACUGACGCUCAUGCACGAAAGCGUGGGGAGCAAACAGGAUUAGAUACCCUGGUAGUCCACGCCCUAAACGAUGUCAACUGGUUGUUGGGCAACUUGAUUGUUCAGUAACGAAGCUAACGCGAGAAGUUGACCGCCUGGGGAGUACGGUCGCAAGAUUAAAACUCAAAGGAAUUGACGGGGACCCGCACAAGCGGUGGAUGAUGUGGAUUAAUUCGAUGCAACGCGAAAAACCUUACCUACCCUUGACAUGUACGGAAGUCUGCUGAGAGGUGGAUGUGCCUGAAAGGGAACCGUAACACAGGUGCUGCAUGGCUGUCGUCAGCUCGUGUCGUGAGAUGUUGGGUUAAGUCCCGCAACGAGCGCAACCCUUGCUAUUAAUUGCCAUCAUUAAGUUGGGCACUUUAAUAGGACUGCUGGUGAUAAACCAGAGGAAGGUGGGGAUGACGUCAAGUCCUCAUAGCCCUUAUGGGUAGGGCUUCACACGUCAUACAAUGGCCGGUACAGAGGGAUGCCAACCCGCGAGGGGGAGCCAAUCUCAGAAAGCCGGUCGUAGUCCGGAUUGUUCUCUGCAACUCGAGAGCAUGAAGUCGGAAUCGCUAGUAAUCGCGGAUCAGCAUGUCGCGGUGAAUACGUUCCCGGGUCU